AGUGAACGCUGGCGGUAGGCCUAACACAUGCAAGUCGAACGGCAGCACAGUAAGAGCUUGCUCUUACGGGUGGCGAGUGGCGGACGAGUGAGGAAUACAUCGGAAUCUACUUUUUCGUGGGGGAUAACGUAGGGAAACUUACGCUAAUACCGCAUACGACCUACGGGUGAAAGCAGGGGAUCUUCGGACCUUGCGCGAUUGAAUGAGCCGAUGUCGGAUUAGCUAGUUGGCGGGGUAAAGGCCCACCAAGGCGACGAUCCGUAGCUGGUCUGAGAGGAUGAUCAGCCACACUGGAACUGGGACACGGUCCAGACUCCUACGGGAGGCAGCAGUGGGGAAUAUUGGACAAUGGGGGCAAGCCUGAUCCAGCCAGACCGCGUGGGUGAAGAAGGCCUUCGGGUUGUAAAGCCCUUUUGUUGGGAAAGAAAAGCAGCAGGUUAAUACCCCGCUGUUCUGACGGUACCCAAAGAAUAAGCACCGGCUAACUUCGUG
rnacentral:rRNA from 1 species